rnacentral:snRNA from 1 species
GUACUCGCUUCGGCAGCACAUAUACUAAA